rnacentral:lncRNA from 1 species
AGAGACUCACGACACUAAACUGUUGUACUUUUGCUUAACCAAUCAAGACUAUAAAAAUAAUAUUUUGGGAUUUUUAUAAAGUGCAGAAAAAUACACAUGAAUGCAAUUUGAUCAAUUGAGGUUAAACACAAAACAAUGGAUGAAUGGAUGUUGUUGGGGGUUUACAAUUUCAUCUAAUCCGCUCUCUCUUACAUACUACCCUUGAAUAUUAGUUUGAUUAAUUCAAUUGUUAUGCGACUUUCUUAGCCUCCCCUAACCCGAUCCCUCGUCGAAAAGGGCCUAAUAUUAACUAUUGGCUUGUUGUCCCCUAGUAAUUAAUACCGCAUUACAAACAGAAGUUAGCGCAAUCGAUCGUCCUACCCCUAUCCCUAGGUGGUAUUGCAAAAUCAAGAGAUUACUCACCAGUUCAUGUCAUUACUGUACGUCCCCUU